UACGGGGGGGGCAAGCGUUGUUCGGAAUUACUGGGCGUAAAGGGUUCGUAGGUGGCCUGCUAAGUCAGACGUGAAAUCCCUCGGCUCAACCGGGGAACUGCGUCUGAGACUGGCGGGCUCGAGGACAGGAGAGGAACGCGGAAUUCCAGGUGUAGCGGUGAAAUGCGUAGAUAUCUGGAGGAAUACCGGUGGCGAAGGCGGCGUUCUGGACCAUUACUGACACUGAAUCGCGAAAGCUAGGGGAGCAAACGGG
rnacentral:rRNA from 1 species